AAGCUUCAAGUUGCCGGGCAAAGCCACAACACGGGCAAGGUAAGGCAGCAGCAAGGUGUGAUCCCGGUCCAGGCAGAUCUCAAAACACGGGUAAGCAGCGCGUUCAGGAGCACUGGCAAGGCGGGGGCCACGCCCCCAGCCCAGGAAACCAGACAAACAGCAUUGGAGCUGCAGAAUGGAGCUUUUUUCCAGCACCAGCUACACAGAACCUCCUGCUUGCAGUAGCAGAGACGGCUGAGCCUUGCCCAAGACAUGGGCAUGGACAAGCCCCGGACUGAGAACCAGAAAGACCAACAGGACAGGGUGCCAGUACCUUGAGCAGAAUAACCUGGCUGGGUGCGCUGCCAGACAAGAUGCAGGAGCCGAACCGGCGCUGGGCAGUCAAGGCGACUUUGCUGGGGUAACACGGCAAGGCAGGACGCGAUGGGGAGGAGACGCAGCAAGGGCAGGAGCUGAAGCGCAGCAGAGCCCGCAGGAAGACCAGCGUUGCUGAGCUGCAGGAACUCAGGUUGUGCAAAGCAGUUCAGUCCCCUCAGAAACAAUGACUGAUCCCCAGAGGGCACCAGUCCGUGGGCAGGGACGCCCUUUGCAAAACCAGCCAACGGUUUCUGAUGCCCAUUCGAAGGUAAGGGAAAGGGCGGGUUUACCUUGGCCCGGUGGCUCUGCGGCUUUCUUCUGAUCUUCUUCGAUGCGAAAGGCCGUCAGCAGGAAACAGCCUCCUCCCAGGACCCCGACGAAGGCACAUAUGACAAAACUGUACUGCAAGCUUCGGAACUCCCAGAGGAAACCAAAGAUGCCUUACAAAUAUCUCCUUCCUUCCCUCCAUUGUAUCCUCACAACAACAACCCUGUGA